CAGGGGAUUGCAGUGGCAAAGCUAGGCUAGGUCUUGGAGGCUGGUGUAAGGCGAUGCGGGUGAAGGCAGGAGGCUGAUGGAGAGACUGGGGGGAAGAAAAGCCGAAAUGGAUUCACGGUGCCUUGGAUGAAGGACGAGAGGGGAACUGCAAGCUCCUUCAACUGGUUCUGUCCGGUGAGAAGUGAUCAAGCUUGGGCUGACAAGAGGCUCAGGGAGCCCUCACGUUCUUUCGCUUUUUUACCUGCCAAUCAAACUGCUACAAGACAACACCCUGAUCUGGCAUGGACAUCGCGGGUCCAAGCCUGUAGCCCCAAAUCGGAUAAUCUCUGCAGCUGAUAACAAGCAAAAGAGAAGCCAGGCAACAGCCAUAUUAAAGAAGAAAACAGUCAACUCUGAGGCCUCCCUACAGCGUUGGCUCAGCUCUAGCUACUUGGAAGGUCGUGGCAAUGCUGUCUCAGAAUGUCCAUUUCUAGAGUACAGAGAAGAAAUUCUAGCUUGACGUCCACGUGCAUUUGUCUGUGUUUCAGAGGAAAUUCCAAUUCUAAACUCUUGGAAGAAACAAUUUCUCGGCAUGCUGAAGAGAAUUGCUGUUUUUUGGCACCCGAAACACUUUUACCCGAGGGUUCUGAUUAUUUAAAUAAUUGGUAUGCUAUAACUAUUCUGGUUGACAGAAAUGUGGUUUAAUGUAGAUGAGUUGUAAAAACAUGAGACAAACAUGCUCCAGGCUAAAAAUAUCUGGAUUAAAAAAGAAAAAGAAAAGAA
rnacentral:sRNA from 1 species